AUAGUCAGUCUGGGCUGUACGAUCGACCUGCUGUGAGCACAAUUGAGAGCUGUCAAAAUUUAAAAUGUCUGACAAACCUGAUCUAGCGGAAGUAACGAAGUUUGACAAGUCUAAGUUGAAGAAAACUGAGACCCAGGAAAAGAACCCAUUACCAACUAAAGAAACAAUUGAGCAAGAGAAGGCUUCUUAGUAAGAAUGACUGCUUUAGACAAUUGUAUAAAACAUUAAAAAAGUAACACUUAUUCAUUAAUCAUGACGUCAUCGCCAUCACCAAAAGAAUUCCAGCACUGCCUUGGAGCAGAAUUGUCACACGAGCUCUGCUCAUUUUACAGACGACAUCUGUCACUUCUGCAGACGACAUUGAGCCAGACGAAAAGUGGGAUUUUGAAUUCUGAGGACGUGAUUCAUAGUUAUAAGCUUUGUUGUUAUUUUAGUUAGUCAUAAAUCUUGCAAUUACUGAAAGCAAAUAGACAUUCAGGAUUUCUUUAUCACACAAUGACGGAAAAUAUCUAUACAAAACAAACCUGUAAUGUAAACGGUACAACAUAGUAUGAUGAAAAAAAAAAACAUUACAAGAGACUUUGAAGCAUACAGUUCGUUAGAAAUCAGUUUAGGAAAUAUAAAAAAUUUUGCCACAAAAAGUGCCUCAGUUGACCAUUUUUAAGGCUGCUGAUUGUAGGAAUCUCAUUUUUUAAAUUUAUUGCACAAAUCUGCUCUUUUUACAUUCCUGUGUCUUUGCGGAUCAACUUGUCACUCAUUUCUUAGGUGCUGUGACAGGCCAUAUCUUAUUGUAUACUCAGCAUUUGUACGCUUUUUAUUCUUUUGAUGGCAUUAAACACCAUGUUUUGUAUA